rnacentral:lncRNA from 1 species
GGAAGAAACGCGUAUUCCACAUUUCCUGUUGAUUUUCUUUCCUCCCUAAACACUGACCUCCCGCAGUCUUCACUAGCAGGGUAACAGAAGCAAAUCAUCAGUGCCUGUCUUUGAACUUGAUGAAACUGUCUCAGCCUCAUGACCUGUGGUACUAGACAGAGACCACAACACCUUGUCUAUCCAGAGUGUGGGAGCACUGUGUGCAGUUAGCUCCUGGAGGCUUGUCCUCAGUAGGCUUAGGGCAUGAGGAGCCCUGGAAAGCCCAGGACCCCAUGGAGGGCCCUGGAGAAACAGCACCUGUGGCUGAGGGGUUCACAGGCCCAGCGAGAUCCACUCAGGUGAGGUCACCUGUAGAGGUCAUGCUGCGGAGUCCCGAGUCCCUGAUUAUAUUCAAGACGUGGAGCUCUCUUUUUCCCGUCCUGCUUUCUUUCCAGAAGUGCCUCAGAUGCAUCCUCCCCUUCUCUUUUCUCCACAUGAAGACGUCACUGACCAUCUUCUCUGGUUUGCUUUCCAACACCGAGCACCAAGUGCUUCAAAGGUCAUGGUGCCCUGGGGCCGAGAGCUACUUAUGUGGGCAUUUAUAACCAAAUAAAUAUUGAAAUGGCCCACAAAGCAAAUGUUAGUGGUAACCAACAGCGGUAAAACUGGGUACAUGGGACCCUGAACCUUCUUGAAUAUUCCCCAUGAGACCCUGGGCCGACCUUCGGGCUUUCCAGUGUGCUCAGAAAAUCCUCCGUGGCUCCCAGCCCCAGCUUAGUCUUUCAACGGUCCUCGGACUGAAGCAAGAGACAGGGAAGGAAUUGUCCAAGGUUUUCCAGCAUGCUGAGAACACUUACCAUGGUGGAGCCUGGCACGUACUGGCUCUUUGAUGCAUGUGUAUUGGUCUCAAGUAGCCAGAAGCAUCUCCUCUGAGAGCCCUUGCCCUCCAGUUUAAAUGGCAAAUGGAAGGGAAUGGGUUCUGGAAGGCCCCAGGUGGGCUGGGGUGGGUUCUGGAGACCAUCUUCCAACUCCUGUUCAGGAGGAGGGUUGGUCAGAUCAGCUCUGUGGCCACCUGGGCUCUGGAGGGGCGAGAUACGGGCAGGUGCGGCCACAGGAGGGAGAGCACCAUGUGCGGGGGAAGCCCACAGCUGGAACCAAAAGGCCCCAGGAGGGAUCCUGGCUCUGACAUCUCCCAGCCGUGUGGCCUUGGGCAAGGUCCCUGACUUGGACCUCAGCCUCCUCAUCUGUAAAACAGGCAGAACAGUAAUACCGACCUUGUAGGUUGUAUAGAGUUCAUAUACAUCAAGCACUUACCACAGUGCCUGGCGGACCGCAUGCCCUAAACACACAAUCCGUGAAAUGAAUCCAUCAGCAAGCAGCUGCUAGGGGCAGUGUGGGGCAGAGAGGCAGCUGCCUGCUGGAACUGGCUGACAGGAGGAUGAGUGUGUGGCAGGAGGAACGCUCUGCACAGAGGACACUAGGUAGCGUCACCUGUCUCUUACCCUGUGUCUCCACUGGAAUGGAAUGUCAGACUCGCACCAUGCAUUCCUUUCCCUGCCAAAACGCCUCCUCUUAGCAGUGAGCAAGAAAGUUGUUCGAGUGGAUGAAGCCAAAAGCCCAUUUGGCAAGAGUGCUGUUUUGGAAAAUGCUUAGCGGUGUGGGUUGGGAUGAGGUUUUCUGUGCCUUUCCAUUAUUUCUUCAGCUUCAUGUAACCCUGACUGAGCAAUGCUCAGCAGAGUGAAGGCUGGGCAGCAGAUGGACAAGAUUUUCUCAAACUCCUUUUUAAGCCAAUUUCAAAAUAGAGAGAGGGAAAAAUCCUUGUUUUCUCUUUUCGGUUUUGAGAGGUUUCAUAUGCAGACACAAUUUUAAAUUUUAUUUUUUUUGCCCCCAAUGAGAUGUUUGGAGAUGGUGGUACUAGAACAGGAAGGAAUUUAUAAGUAUUGGGGAAUUUUUCAUCCCAAUUCCCAUAUCCUCCUAUAAUUCAAGGAGUGAAUGGGUAGUGUUUUUGUUUUUGUGAGAGGGGUGGCGGAGGGUAGAGAGAGAAAGAGAGAGAGACAGAGAGAGAUUACAUAGAGGUGUCCAAAAUGAACACAGUAAAAACCAGUUUUGAUUAAUUCUGCAAUAUUAAGUAGGCAGCCAAAAAUUUUGGUCUGCUUAAUUCUUAGCUCAUCUAAGUCUCCAGUUGACUGAUUGAUUGAUUGAAUGACUUAUUCAACAUGCGCUAGCCAGACACU